CAAAAACCUGUUCAACCAGUUCAGAAGAACAGAGAUCUCCGAGCCGCAGUGAAUUCACCUCUCUUCAGCUCAUCAAGACAUUCUAUGAAGAGAGAAUUUAAGAGAAAAUAUUGUAUGGCAUGUGGUCUGAUCUAAAGAAGAAGGACAAAGGAAGAGAGGAAAAUGGCGAGUUAAAACCUGAACCAGAAGAGGAAAAGAGCGUGAGACUAGUUCGACGGAACAGCUUUAAUAAAGACAGACCAAACUACUCUUGUGAUCCAGACAGUCAUACUGUGAUGUUUCAGAGAGAGUCAGAGAUGAGACUGCAGCAGUUCCUGUCAUCAAACCAGCAAAUUCUUCUUCUUCACUAUUUUAAGUCUCUUCUUAAACAUAUUUUAUGUCAAGUUCAGAGCUAAACCCGUCAGGCAGGUUUACAGUACAACAUGAACCUGUCGUGUAAGAGUGGGUUCUACAGACAUACAGACAAUUCUGUCCUCUUGUAUGUCCAUACCACACUGUAUGAUACGACAGCAUGGCGCUGGCAACGGCAAGGUCAAAGGUCACAGGAGUCGCUAGAAGCACCCUGAAUGACUUCACUUGCACGUCUGACACUUGAUCUGCGUUUAACCAGAUUCAGUGUGAUGCCACAGUGUACUGUAAACACCAGUGACACCUUAUGUACCUUUUCUUUUGUAAAAGUGUACAGAGGGUCGUUAUUUCUGAUGUUUACUUGAGAAGCUUUACUAAAAGUAAAAGUGACUCACUUGAGGAACAUCACAAGCAAUUUGUCAGCAAAAUGUACAAAUCUAGGUUUACUUACACUCAAUGUGUAUGAAUAAUCUGAUACAGUUUGCAUUAUUGACUGAUGUAUUAGUGUCAUUACUGUACGUGUCGCACCACACGAUACGACAGCAUGGCACUGACAACGGCAAGGUCAAAGGUCUCAGGAGUCUCUGAAGAUUUCUGAACUCUUGCACAUCUGACACUCGUUCUAUCAUUAAUCAUAAUGAUCAGAAUCAGGUGUGUCUGACUGAAAUGUACUGUUCAUGUGUCAAUUACACAUUGUCACAGUGUACGGUGACGUGUACCUUUUUUGUCCCUUUUCGGUUCUGAGAGUGUACAAAAGGUCAUUAUUUCUGAUGUUUACUUCUGAAGCAUCUUCGGGUAAAAGUCGUUUUUAUCCACAGUGACUUACAUGAGGAACAUCACAAGCAAUUUUUCAGCAAAAUGUACAAAGCUAGGUUUACUAAAAACUACAUAUGACUGUGUAUGAAUGGUUUUCUUACCUGAUAGUUUACAUUAUUGACUGAUGUAUUAGUGUUAUUACUGUACGUGUCGUACCACACGAUACGACAGCAUGGCACUGACAACGGCAAGGUCUAAGGUCUCAGGAGUCUCUGAAAUCUGAAGAUCUCUGAACUCUUGCACAUCUGACACUCGUUCUAUCAUUAAUCAUAAUGAUCAGAAUCAGGUGUGUCUGACUGAAAUGCCACAGUACUGUAUUUACACACUGCUACUGUGCCUUUUUGUACCUUUUCUUUUAUAAGAUUGUACAGAAGGUCAUUAUUUCUGAUGUUUACUUCUGAAUGAGGAACAUCACAAGCACAAGUGUACAAAGCUAGGUUUACUAAAACCUACACUAGUAAACUAAGUGAGUCAAGAGGUGAAAUACAGGAAAAAAAAGGUUUUUAAAACUUUUUUAUAGAAAAAUGAACUAGAAUGAUAUAUGUCGCAUUAGCUGUGUUUCUAUCCAAAGCUGUGAAUUUAACUUAUGCGCAAAAUUGGAAUCUCACAUAAAACAUUUGUGAAUAAAGCAGCGUUUCCAUCCAGUGAGUCGACGAGAACAAAAACGUCACUUUCUGAUAAACUGGCGCUAAAUUUAUUUGGUAAAUGAGUUUCCAUCAUAGUUUUCUUAUCAGACAAAAAUUUUAUCCGACUCAAACAAGCGCAUACGUUUUUAUACACAUUUUUAGAAUUUAUGCGCAUCUUGGCGUUUCCAUUCGUCAGUUUUUGAUGCGAUUUCCCAAAAUGUGCAUAAGAAGAGGUGUAUGGAAACAUAGCUACUGUUUUGGGUUUAUGUUUAUAUGUUCAUGUCUUUUAUUUUGAAAUUCUCAUAGUUUUGUCUCCUGGUUUCUUGUCAUGUGACUUCCUUGCCCUCAAGUGAUCAUGGCUGCAUCUGAAAUCACAUACUUCCCUGCUAUACAGUAGGUGAAAAACAGUAUGUGACAAAAGAGGUACGUCUGAAUUCAUAGGACUCAUAAAACAGUAUGCAAAAAGUCCCCAGAUGAUCUAAUACUUCCAGCGAGAUUCUGAAGUGUGCAUUAGAUGGACACUACUAUCCCAUGAGGCCAUUGGAGAGGAUUUGUGACAACAGUGAAGUGACGCUGGUGGGUCACAUGAUGAUAACAACAUCUUAUUUUUUACUUAUCUUAUUAAUUUCACAUAUUUUUUCUAUAAAUAAGUACCUACUCAAGAGAGUAAGUGAUUUCGGACGCAGCCAGUGUCUCAUGCUUCCUUUGUUUUAUGUGUCAUGUUCUGAUUGGUUGAUCAUCUUGACUGUUCUCAGGUCAGUCAUUAGUCUUGUUGUAUAAAUAGCCCUCAUGUUUCCAUUGUCUCUUGUCUGUGUUCCC